AGUCGCCGCGGUAAUACGGAGGGGGCUAGCGUUGCUCGGAAUUACUGGGCGUAAAGGGAGCGUAGGCGGGUCGUUUAGUCAGAGGUGAAAUCCCGGGGCUCAACCUCGGAACUGCCUUUGAUACUGGCGACCUUGAGGAUGGGAGAGGUAAGCGGAACUCCGAGUGUAGAGGUGAAAUUCGUAGAUAUUCGGAAGAACACCAGUGGCGAAGGCGGCUUACUGGCCCAUUACUGACGCUGAGGCUCGAAAGCGUGGGGAGCAAACAGGAUUAGAGACCCCGGUAGUCCCUGUCUCUUAUACA
rnacentral:rRNA from 1 species